CCUUCCUCUCACCAUGGUAGUGAUCAGGGGCUUUGGAAGCAGCAGCAAAACUAACAGGAAAUCUGGGAGUAGCUGGUCCUGUAGGAUCCCCCAAGAGGUGACGAGAUCAGAGAGGCUUCAGCAGGGGAGACAUGGCCCAGCUCUGUGUAUCCAACAAGUCCUUCAUGUGUCUUCCCUUCAUUCACCAAGCCUGUCCUGAGUCCCUGGGCAUGACCCUGAAGCCUCCACCUUUAUUGUUUAAUUCGCUCACCAAUCCAAUCCUGGGAGGUAGGUGUGACCAUCACCCCAUUUCUACAUGAGGAAACUGAGGCUCAGAGGAGAGCAGUGGCCUGCCUUAAGUCACAGAGCUGGGAAGUAGCAGAGCUGGGAUUCCCACGGCACAGGUUGUCUCCUUCCAGCCUAGGUUUGAGGGAAACUGGGAAGGUUGGGUCAACAGGUUGCAGUGACUGUGUGUGUGUUUCUGGCUCGGGCCUGUGCAGCUGGCUAGGAGACAGGACUGCCAGGGGAUGGGAGUGCCUGGCAGGGUGAUGGGGAACAGUGAGGAGAAGCAGGUUCCGCAGGCAGCCGGCCAGGACCGGUGGAGGUGGGCUGAGCCUGGAACCCAGUCUUCCUGUUCCCAGCACCAGCGUCCCCUCGCCAGCCGGCUCCUAGCACUGGAGUCCUGGUUGCCAGUCCCAUUCAUCGUCUGAACCAUCGCUAGACCUCGCUUUUUGCAUCAGAGAAACAAGGGCAGAGACCUGGGUUUGGGGGGGUUGGUUUAUAGCCCCGGGGGAUUCCUGCUCCUUUAAGCUUUUCUCCAUGGAGAGGGUGCGGCCAGCCGCAGGUAGCCUUCUGUGAUCAGAGAAGGAGCCCUAACAUUAGCUCAGCAGUUGUACCUCCAAUUGACAAAUGAGAAUGUGGGCUCAAAGUACCGCAGUGACCACAGCAGUUCCCAUGGUAGGCACGUGCAUUUGAUCCCAUGACUUCUACCACUCAGGACGGGGAAGCUGAGGCCCAGAGAGGAUUCAGAAAAUGCAGACCAUAUCCACCCCCAACACUACCUGCCCAGCCGGGAAGCACAGGGGUCAUUCUCUUGGAGGGUGAGAGAGGGCAACUCCAUUCUGGGUAAGAA
ensembl:lncRNA